rnacentral:rRNA from 1 species
AUGGGGUGCAGCAGGGGCGAAACCUUCACAAUGUGCGAAAGCACGAUGAGGGGAUCCCAAGUGCUUGCUCGUAAGAGUAAGCUGUUUUUAUGUCUAAAAAGCAUAGAGAGUAAGGGCUGGGUAAGACGGGUGCCAGCCGCCGCGGUAAUACCUGCAGCUCAAGUGGUGACCACUAUUAUUGGGCCUAAAACGUUCGUAGCCGGUUUGGUAAAUGCCUGGGUAAAUCGUGUAGCUUAACUAUACGAAUUCCGGGUAGACUGCCAAACUUGAGACCGGGAGAAGCUAGAGGUACUCCUGGGGUAGAGGUGAAAUUCUGUAAUCCUGGGGGGACCACCAGUGGCGAAGGCGUCUAGCUAGAACGGGUCUGACGGUGAGGAACGAAGCCCUGGGGCGCAAACCGGAUUAGAUACCCGGGUAGUCCAGGGUGUAAACGCUGCUUGCUUGAUGUUAGUUGGGCUCCGAGCCCAAUUAGUGUCGGAGAGAAGUUGUUAAGCAAGCUGCCUGGGAAGUACGAUCGCAAGAUUGAAACUUAAAGGAAUUGGCGGGGGAGCAC